rnacentral:tRNA from 1 species
GUCUUUGUAGUAUAACAAAAUACCCCGGUCUUGUAAACCGGAAAAGGAGAACCCCAUUCCUCCCUAAGACUCAAGGAAGAGACAUUAAACCUCACCACCAACACCCAAAGCUGGAAUUCUACAUAAACUAUUCCUUG